AUUGAACGCUGGCGGAAUGCUUUACACAUGCAAGUCGAACGGUAGAGGGGGCAACCCCUUGAGAGUGGCGAACGGGUGAGUAAUAUAUCGGAACGUGCCCAGUCGUGGGGAUAACGUAGCGAAAGUUACGCUAAUACCGCAUACGAUCUAAGGAUGAAAGCGGGGGACUCGCAAGAGCCUCGCGCGAUUGGAGCGGCCGAUAUCAGAUUAGGUAGUUGGUGAGGUAAAGGCUCACCAAGCCAACGAUCUGUAGCUGGUCUGAGAGGACGACCAGCCACACUGGAACUGAGACACGGCCCAGACUCCUACGGGAGGCAGCAGUGGGGAAUCUUAGACAAUGGGGGCAACCCUGAUCUAGCCAUGCCGCGUGAGUGAUGAAGGCCUUAGGGUUGUAAAGCUCUUUCAGUUGGGGAAGAUAAUGACGGUACCCACAGAAGAAGCCCCGGCUAACCUCCCGUGCCAGCAGCCGCGGUAAAGUGACUACUG
rnacentral:rRNA from 1 species